rnacentral:rRNA from 1 species
GACGGAGGGUGCAAGCGUUAUCCGGAUUUACUGGGCGUAAAGGGUGCGUAGGUGGGUAGGUAAGUCAGUGGUGAAAUCUCCGGGCUUAACCCGGAAACUGCCAUUGAUACUAUUUAUCUUGAAUACGUUGGAGGUAAGCGGAAUAUGUCAUGUAGCGGUGAAAUGCUUAGAUAUGACAUAGAACACCAAUUGCGAAGGCAGCUUACUGCACAGUGAUUGACACUGAGGCACGAAAGCGUGGGGAUCAAACAGG